GAAGGUUUAAUUCCAUAUGUUAUUCAUGCAAUAAAAAAGCAAAAGCAAGGGAACAUUAUGGACCAAAAUUUAAGUCCUCAAAAUUCAGAUAGCUCAAACCGUAGCUACCAUUUGCUUUUGACUUCUGAUUCCUUCAAUGGUAAUUCUCCUCGCAUAGGAACAAUAGGUUCAGUUUCUACUACUCCUUCUUCUCCUUCAAUCAUCAAUGUUGCCACUACUACCA
rnacentral:lncRNA from 1 species